AGAGUUUGAUCAUGGCUCAGAGUGAACGCUGGCGGCAGGCCUAAUACAUGCAAGUCGAACGGCAGCACGGCAGAGCUUGCUCUGUGGGUGGCGAGUGGCGGACGGGUGAGGAAUACAAGGGAAUCUGCCCAGUCGUGGGGGAUAACGUAGGGAAACUUACGCUAAUACCGCAUGCGCCCUUCGGGGGAAAGCCGGGGACCUUCGGGCCUGGCGCGAUUGGAUGAGCCCAUGUCGGAUUAGCUAGUUGGCGGGGUAAUGGCCCACCAAGGCGACGAUCCGUAGCUGGUCUGAGAGGAUGAUCAGCCACACUGGAACUGAGACACGGUACAGACUCCUACGGGAGGCAGCAGUAGGGAAUAUUGGACAAUGGGCGCAAGCCUGAUCCAGCCAUGUCGCGUGAGUGAAGAAGGCCCUCGGGUUGUAAAGCUCUUUUGUCCGGAAAGAAAAGCGCCGGGUUAAUACCCUGGUGUCCUGACGGUACCGGAAGAAUAAGCACCGGCUAACUUCGUG
rnacentral:rRNA from 1 species